ACGAAGGGGGCUAGCGUUGUUCGGAUUUACUGGGCGUAAAGCGCAUGUAGGCGGGACUUUAAGUCGGGUGUGAAAUCCCUGGGCUCAACCUAGGAACUGCAUCCGAAACUGAGGUUCUGGAGUAGUGGAGAGGAAAGCGGAAUUCCGGGUGUAGAGGUGAAAUUCGUAGAUAUCCGGAGGAACACCAGUGGCGAAGGCGGCUUUCUGGACACUAACUGACGCUGAGAUGCGAAAGCGUGGGGAGCAAACAGGA
rnacentral:rRNA from 1 species